rnacentral:rRNA from 1 species
GUGGGGAAUCUUGCGCAAUGGGCGAAAGCCUGACGCAGCCAUGCCGCGUGAAUGAUGAAGGUCUUAGGAUUGUAAAAUUCUUUCACCGGGGACGAUAAUGACGGUACCCGGAGAAGAAGCUCCGGCUAACUUCGUGCCAGCAGCCGCGGUAAUACGAAGGGGGCUAGCGUUGCUCGGAAUUACUGGGCGUAAAGGGCGCGUAGGCGGACAGCUUAGUCAGAGGUGAAAGCCCAGGGCUCAACCUUGGAAUUGCCUUUGAUACUGGCUGUCUUGAGUUUGGGAGAGGUGAGUGGAACUCCGAGUGUAGAGGUGAAAUUCGUAGAUAUUCGGAAGAACACCAGUGGCGAAGGCGACUCACUGGCCCAAUACUGACGCUGAGGCGCGAAAGCGUGGGAGCAAACAGGAUUAGAUACCCCAGUAGUCC